GAUGAACGCUGGCGGCGUGCUUAACACAUGCAAGUCGAACGAUGAAGCCCAGCUUGCUGGGUGGAUUAGUGGCGAACGGGUGAGUAACACGUGAGUAACCUGCCCUUAACUCUGGGAUAAGCCUGGGAAACUGGGUCUAAUACCGGAUAGGAGCGUCCACCGCAUGGUGGGUGUUGGAAAGAUUUAUCGGUUUUGGAUGGACUCGCGGCCUAUCAGCUUGUUGGUGAGGUAAUGGCUCACCAAGGCGACGACGGGUAGCCGGCCUGAGAGGGUGACCGGCCACACUGGGACUGAGACACGGCCCAGACUCCUACGGGAGGAAGCAGUGGGGAAUAUUGCAAAAUGGGCGCAAGCCUGAUGCAGCGACGCCGCGUGAGGGAUGACGGCCUUCGGGUUGUAAACCUCUUUCAGUAGGGAAGAAGCGAAAGUGACGGUACCUGCAGAAGAAGCACCGGCUAACUACGUG
rnacentral:rRNA from 1 species